rnacentral:rRNA from 1 species
GAUGAACGCUAGCGGCAGGCCUAACACAUGCAAGUCGAGGGGUAGCAGGGGUAGCAAUACCCGCUGACGACCGGCGCACGGGUGAGUAACGCGUAUGCAACCUUCCCUCCGCAGGGGGGAUAGCCCGCCGAAAGGCGGAUUAAUACCCCAUGGCCCCCGGGCGCGGCAUCGCGCGCGGGGUAAAGGAGCAAUCCGGCGGAGGAUGGACAUGCGUGCCAUUAGCUAGUUGGGGGGGUAACGGCCCACCAAGGCGACGAUGGCUAGGGGGUCUGAGAGGAUGGUCCCCCCACACUGGUACUGAGACACGGACCAGACUCCUACGGGAGGCAGCAGUGAGGAAUAUUGGUCAAUGGGCGGAAGCCUGAACCAGCCAUGCCGCGUGCAGGAAGACGGCCCUACGGGUUGUAAACUGCUUUUCCGGGGGAAGAAUAAGGGCGACGUGUCGCCCGAUGCCGGUACCCCGGGAAUAAGGAUCGGCUAACUCCGUGCCAGCAGCCGCGGUAAU